GGAGCUGUGCCUGAAUGCCAAGGACCACUUUGAUAGAGUGACCCACGGGGGUUCAAGUCCCCCCGGCUCCU
rnacentral:tRNA from 1 species